CUUCAAGCCAUCAAAAACUCAGUCUCUCUUCAUUAGCAAAAGCAUUUGGCGAAAAACUUCGAUUCGUUUCUCUAAAAUCACUCUCCAAUGUCGAUCUUUGAGUAUAAUGGAAGUGCUUUGGUUGCGAUGGUUGGGAAAAACUGUUUCGCUAUUGCGAGUGAUAGGCGUUUUGGAGUACAGCUGCAGACAAUCGCUACUGAUUUCCAGAGGAUUUAUAAAAUACAUGACAAGCUUUUUAUUGGACUUUCUGGCUUGGCUACUGAUACUCAAACACUGCAUCAACGCCUCAUGUUCCGUCACAAGCUAUAUGAGCUUAGAGAAGAUAGGGAUAUGAAGCCCGAGACCUUUGCCAGUCUUGUAUCUGCUAUGCUUUAUGAGAAAAGG
rnacentral:misc_RNA from 1 species